UUGACACUGAAAGGGUUAGCCACCAUCAUGACAGUUUGUCCCUCAAUUUCUGGAAUUUCUUCACCAAAACUGUUGUCAACUUCUCAUUUCUUAUUUUGACUGUGGAGCAUUGGUCCAUGGAGGGUACCCAUUUUUCCUCUUUGGGAGACAUACAGCUGAACAACUGUGAGCAAGCAGCCAAAGAGGUAGAGAAAACUGAAAGAAGAAAAACAAGAAUACACCCAGGUAGAAGGCAAGUGUUUCGGUAGAUGUGUAGGUUUGCCAUAAGCUGCUUUCGUCACACACAGGAUUUUUCCUACGAAAAUUUCCAAGGACAACAAUGGAGCGACCUACCUGUUUAUUUUCUCAAAAAUAACGAACAGGGCCUUGUCUGCCAGGAUGAAGGAGAAAAUAAAUGAAAUUCCAGCCUUUCGAUGAAAUGUCAUGCUAAAAUGGAUGGUCCAAAAAUCUAUAUUUAGAUGAGUGACUCCUGUUUGAAGAAGACAUGAUAAAUGUUUCAUGCAUAUAAACUGAGGGAUGAUGGAUUUAAUGAUCAUACCCUAACUGGGGAAUGCUAUUUUGGAAUAAUUAAAUGUUCCAUCAUUUGCAAGUCUAAAUAGUCCAUUGUUAGUUCCUGUUUUUGUCUGUCAACAGAUCCUUCCAUUUUCUAAAGGAAAUUUAUCAUUAAAACAAUUGAACUGAUAGCAACAUCCCACCAGUGUGUUAGCAAUAGCACAUUUCAUGGGACUUUAAUUCAUAGCUACAGUUUAGGAAAACUUAAUUUAUGUCUGAGUCUGCUUCAUAAAUGACAAACAUGACAAGCAUUGUUUAAAGGCUAGUGGUAGAUAUUUAUCUUCAGGUAUUGCG
rnacentral:lncRNA from 1 species